rnacentral:lncRNA from 1 species
GGGACAGCCCGCCUGGCGCGCGGGGCUCUGCGCGCUGCGACCCUCCCCGGCAGUCCCGCCCGCCUCUCCUCGCCCUCUCUCUGCCUGGCCUCCAACUUUGCCUCUCGCUAUCCUCUCCGCCGGCGCCCCCUUUCCCGGCGGUCCCCGGGAUGGUCCCCGGCACCCCGAGGACGCCGAGGUUACGGGAAGUUCGGGGACUGGCGGGAGAAGGGGUUUGGGGGUGGUCCGCGGCGAGGGGCGCGGGGUGCAUCUUCUCUUCCUUUUAUGCUGAGUGGGUCAGCUCAUCACAGGCCUGCGGCCCCUGCAUGGGUGACAGAGGAGGCAAAGAUGACACAGAGAAACUAUCCCUUCAGGGACAGAGUGGGGACACCCACGAGCUUGGCUCUGCCUUACAAAGAAAUGAGAAGGAACCCCGUUCCUGCUUUUCACCUUAGGGCUGCCACACUUGUGUAUCCCUUCUUCCUUGAAUUUAACCAGGAGUGA